rnacentral:lncRNA from 1 species
UUACAUGUUUGGACGAUUUUUGGUGCUUGAAUUUUAUUUGUUUAAAAUUGAUUUGAGGAAAGGUGUUUGAAAAUUUUUAAAUUUUUUUUUGAGAAAGGAGAUGAUUGAAAAUCUUUAUUUUGGGGAGAUUGAAAUUUUUCAAAGUAUCUUAACCGAAAUUCAUCUUGAAUUAAAUUCAUAUUAAUUAUCGAUUUUACUCAAUUUUUUAUUAUUUUGACGAUAAUUGAUUAUAUGAAUUCUUAAUACAAAUAUUUAUCAAAAUUAUGAAAU